rnacentral:lncRNA from 1 species
GCCGCAGCUCCCGGGGAGGGAGAGAACCAGGCCCGGAGAAAAGUUUAGUGCGAGAGGGGAAGGAGUUUUUCCGGAGGGAUGGCUAGAAUUCGGGUGGACCCGGGAGGACAGUUUGUUUUUCUUCGGAGCACAAGAGAGGCCUGCCCUCUGGAGCCCCAGCUCGCCCGCCACUCGCUCUGCUAGGACUGGCCUAACUCCCCUUCCCGGACUGUCCCCCACCCCCGGGACUGUGGACUGGCCUUUUGACUUUUCCUCCUCGCUGCAUCUUGGGCAUUCCAGGUGUCUUCCGGGGGACAUUGCUUCCCUCAGCCUGGCUGCGCUGGGAGCCCAAACUUGGACCAACUCUUUGUCCCUCCCUCCGGUGCGCUGGGGGGAUGCGCGGGGUGCCGGGAUCACGGCUGAGCGCGGGACCCCACCCGGGCUUGAUGGUGGUGGGGAACAGGGAGAAAAACACAAUCCCCCAAACCCCACCAGCUCCCCUCAAGGGUUAAAUUUUAAACCGCUUUUUCUCGGACAAGCCCGGAAACUCGGGGUGUAGGGGAAUUGCUCACAAUUGCAAAUGCUAAUAACUAGUUCAAUUUUUUAGAUCGAUUCUUUAAAGCUGUGGAGAGAGAGAGAGAGAGAGAGAGAGAGAGAGAGAGAGAGAGAGAGAGAGAGAGAGAAGCAAGAGAGCAAAGGAAAGAAACCGACAACUCUUUUCUAAGAUUUUAAAGCGAUAGGCAAGUUGGAGGAGCCGAGAUUUAUUUGGGGAUAAGCAAGGUUGUGGGAAGCCGACCCACAUUUGAAAGUCCAGCCCACCUGCUUGGUAGUUGGGACUGUUGAUUCCAGCUAUUAAUGAAAUGCACUUGGUGUUAAUCGAAUUUUUUUUAACUUUAUGGGAGGGACAC